rnacentral:rRNA from 1 species
CUUGUACACACCGCCCGUCACACCAUGGGAGCGGGUUCUGCCAGAAGUAGUUAGCCUAACCGCAAGGAGGGCGAUUACCACGGCAGGGUUCGUGACUGGGGCU